AUUGAACGCUGGCGGCAGGCCUAACACAUGCAAGUCGAACGAGUGGCGGACGGGUGCGUAAUGUCUGGGAAACUGCCUGAUGGAGGGGGAUAACUACUGGAAACGGUAGCUAAUACCGCAUACCAUCAGAUGUGCCCAGAUGGGAUUGGCUGGUUGUUGGGGUAACGCCGCACCAAGGCGACGCUCCCUAGCUGGUCUGAGAGGAUGACCAGCCACACUGGACCGGAAAAACGGUCCAGACUCCUGCGGGAGGCAGAAGUGGGGAAUAUUGCACAAUGGGCGCAAGCUGGAUGCAGCCAUGCCGCGUGUAUGAAGAGGGCCUUCGGGUUGUAAAGUACUUUCAGCGGGGAGGCGUUACCCGCAGAAGAAGCCCCGGCUAACUCCGUGCCAGCAGCCGCGGUAAUAC
rnacentral:rRNA from 1 species